CCUACGGGUGGCAGCAGUGGGGAAUAUUGGGCAAUGGGCGCAAGCCUGACCCAGCAACGCCGCGUGAAGGAAGAAGGCUUUCGGGUUGUAAACUUCUUUUCUGGGGGACGAACAAAUGACGGUACCCCAGGAAUAAGCCACGUCUAACUACGUGCCAGCAGCCGCGGUAAUACGUAGGUGGCAAGCGUUAUCCGGAAUUAUUGGGUGUAAAGGGCGGGUAGGCGGGAAUGCAAGUCAGAUGUGAAAACUAUGGGCUCAACCCAGAGCCUGCAUUUGAAACUGUAUUUCUAGAGUGGUGGAGAGGCGAUCGGAAUUCCGGGUGUAGCGGUGAAAUGCGUAGAGAUACGGAGGAACACCAGUGGCGAAGGCGGAUUGCUGGACAAUAACUGACGCUGAGGCGCGAAAGCGUGGGGAGCAAACAGGAUUAGAUACCCGUGUAGUC
rnacentral:rRNA from 1 species